CUCCCUGCUCACUCGAAGAAACACGGGAGAGAGCAAGCUCCACGAGGGUUUUACGAGGGGUGAUUCUACGCCGCCGCCGCCGGAUCGGCAAGCGUGGGCUUCCCUCAACAUGUCCGACCGGGACGAGAAGCGCAAGCUGCGCGAGGCCAGGAAGGAGGAUGCGGAUAUGGAACGGGCGCAGGAGCAGGAUCGAGCUCCGGUCCGCAAACAUCUGCAGCGCCGAAUCGAGGAAGAAAACCACAUUUGCAGGGCGUAAUUGAGGAUAUUCCAGUGUAUACUAUCUUGGAGGACGCCGAUGAUAGGGCGUUCUAUAAGCUCCUGACGCAGAGGCGCGCAAGAAUUUUUGAAGUGGCUUCAAUUACGAUCCUUGGCGUGCCGGUGACGCCUCCUGAGCUUCCCUCGCCCGCCGGAGUCACCGAGGAGAGGUUAACAUUUCACGCCGUGAAGCUGGUUGGUCGUAUCCGCACCGUCUUGCUCCUCCUCAGAGAAACUGAUAUGUACUUUGUGGCGUUCAACCCAAGUGGCGAUCCUACUUCGACUUGGUUCACAUUCGACGAUGCACCUAUUCCGACUUUCCUCAAUCAAGUGGCCUUACCCUACGAUGGCAGAUAUGGUGAUCUCACAAAACUGGAGAUCGGAUAUUAUUGUGUUACUGAAAUUAUUGAUGUUCUAUCAAGGUAUAAUUCUUCAAAUGUUACAGUGAAAACCAAUGAGCGCGCGAGAGUGUUGUCUUGCACAGCUGUUAUGUUCAGUGAAACAAUGCGCCUUGGUGAUGUGCAACAGUUUGCUAUGAGAUUGCUGCAUCAAGGUGAACGCAGGUGCGUUCCUAGGCUUCUGGACAAGAAAAUACACUCUUGGGGAGUAUAUGGUGCCUACGGGAUACGCCAUCUGAGCGGAGACCACAUAUUGCAUGCUAUUGAUAAGACCAAUAUAAGAAAAUUGUCCCGGGGCUGUAUAACCCAAAGAAAGAAAAAUUUGAAAUCUGGGGACUGAUUGGUCGUCGGAGAUGUUCUGAAGAUGAGGAUUUUUGGAUGAAAAGGAGGGUUGGGGUGAUUUUGGUUUCUCUUUUCCAUAAAGAUUACGUGCCACGCUACAUCAUCAUGAAAGAAAAGGCAUAUCUAGCACCAGAAGAGAUGAAGAAGUCCAUGUGCAAAUUUGAGAAGGUUAGCAGGCCAGCCGCACCAAGUGAAAAUGCUCAGAUGGUCCAUUCUAGUGAAAAGAGACGUGAAGAUGAGAAAAUAUGGAAUGGUGAUAUUCAAAUGCUCAGAUCAGACCUGAACACCCUCCGGGGUCAAGCUUGGUUGAACGACGCUGUCAUUGAAUUCAUGUUUAGCAUCUUCCAAGAUCUCAUGGAUGACACAGUCCUUCUGGUGCCCCCAAGUCUGUCAAGGCUGCUAGGCAAACCAGAAAUCGCCCCCAAUAUUUACAAUGAUCUCCAAAUCUCGUUGCGGUCCCUUGUGCUCUUGGCAAUAAACGACAUGCAAGAAAGUGAUGGUGGUGAUGUUGGGCUCCACUGGAGUUUGCUAGCAGUUGAAUGACCAAGGCUGAGGUUCCCCGUUUUAUCCAUCUUGACAGUUUGAAUGGGUUUAACUCGCAAGUGGCCAAAAAUCUUGCCAGCAAGGUUCGAUUGAAUGUCCCUGGAGCGGCCAGGGCACAAUUUCUAGACGCCCCAAUGCCAAAGCAGCCCAAUACGUUUAACUGUGGUGUCUAUACACUGGCAGCAGCAGAGGCAAUAUGUGAGUGGUACUUGGCAUCUCAUGACGGGCUGCCGCCGACCUCCGAUUGGAUCGACUUCGUGGUGGAGAAUUGUAAGGAUCAUCAGACAGUGCAGGCUAAGAGAGAGAAGUAUAUCAAGAUGGCUGAAUCUUAUGACAACCACAAGAACGUUUAGUUCUUCUUUCUUUUUUGAGAGAGAGAGAGAGAGAGAGGAACUACGGCAGGCAAAAUGCCGACCUGAACAUGUGUAUUACUCCAAUAUGCAAGGCUUUGAGGCAUACAAGGAUUUGCGAAGGAGGAGAACAUUUAGUUCUGUCGGUGCCUUUUCUUGUUUGAGAAUGUGCAACAUUGCUUCUUCUUGUUUGAGAUUGUGCUACAUUGUUUCUUCUUCUUGUUAGAGAAUUGCUACACUGCUUCUUCUUCUUCUUCUUCCUAGUGAAUUGCUACAUUGCUUCUUGUUUGAGAAUGUGCUGUGUUACUUCUU